rnacentral:rRNA from 1 species
GAUGAACGCUGGCGGCGUGCCUAAUACAUGCAAGUCGAGCGAACAGACGAGGAGCUUGCUCCUCUGACGUUAGCGGCGGACGGGUGACUAACACGUGGAUAACCUACCUAUAAGACUGGGAUAACUUCGGGAAACCGGAGCUAAUACCGGAUAAUAUAUUGAACCGCAUGGUUCAAUAGUGAAAGACGGUUUUGCUGUCACUUAUAGAUGGAUCCGCGCCGCAUUAGCUAGUUGGUAAGGUAACGGCUUACCAAGGCAACGAUGCGUAGCCGACCUGAGAGGGUGAUCGGCCACACUGGAACUGAGACACGGUCCAGACUCCUACGGGAGGCAGCAGUAGGGAAUCGUCCGCAAUGGGCGAAAGCCUGACGGAGCAACGCCGCGUGAGUGAUGAAGGUCUUCGGAUCGUAAAACUCUGUUAUUAGGGAAGAACAAAUGUGUAAGUAACUAUGCACGUCUUGACGGUACCUAAUCAGAAAGCCACGGCUAACUACGUG